CAAACAGGGACGAAGGAAAGAUCUCAAAUCGAUAAUCUAAUUAAAACUGCACUUCCCAUCACCAAUAAACAAAAGCUGAAACCAGGGAAGAGGAUGUUCAGAAACCUAUACAAAUGCAUCUUUAAAUAGAUGGUAUCCAUGGGUAGU